UUACGGCCAUAUCACAUUGAAACACCAGUUUCAAUACGAUCAUCGUUGUUAAGCAACAACAAGCCUCAUCAGUACAUAGAUGGGUGGCCGUUUGGGAAUACCAGGUGCAGCAAG